rnacentral:rRNA from 1 species
UACGUAGGGUGCAAGCGUUGUCCGGAAUUAUUGGGCGUAAAGAGCGUGUAGGCGGUUUGGUAGGUCCGCUGUGAAAACUCGAGGCUCAACCUCGAGACGCCGGUGGAAACCAUCAGGCUAGAGUCCGGAAGAGGAGAGUGGAAUUCCUGGUGUAGCGGUGAAAUGCGCAGAUAUCAGGAAGAACACCAAUGGCGAAAGCAGCUCUCUGGGACGGUACUGACGCUGAGACGCGAAAGCGUGGGGAGCGAACAGG